rnacentral:rRNA from 1 species
CAGUAAGGAAUAUUGGUCAAUGGAGGCAACUCUGAACCAGCCAUGCCGCGUGCAGGAUGACUGCCCUAUGGGUUGUAAACUGCUUUUGUACAGGAAUAAACCUCUUUACGUGUAAAGGGCUGAAUGUACUGUAAGAAUAAGGAUCGGCUAACUCCGUGCCAGCAGCCGCGGUAAUACGGAGGAUCCAAGCGUUAUCCGGAUUUAUUGGGUUUAAAGGGUGCGUAGGCGGAAUGAUAAGUCAGAGGUGAAAGCCUACAGCUUAACUGUAGAAUUGCCUUUGAUACUGUCGUUCUUGAGUACAUUUGGUGUGGGCGGAAUGUGUCAUGUAGCGGUGAAAUGCUUAGAUAUGACACAGAACACCGAUCGCGAAGGCAGCUCACAAAACUGUUACUGACGCUGAGGCACGAAAGCGUGGGGAUCGAACAGGAUUAGA